GUAAAAAGCUAGGGGUCCUAGGCAUAUGCGUUCCGCAUGUGCCGGGUGAGAAAAACCCUUGAACCUGAUCUGGAUAAUGCCAGCGAAGGGAAGCUGCCGAGACGUGUA
rnacentral:ncRNA from 1 species